UACGGAGGGUGCAAGCGUUAUCCGGAUUUACUGGGUUUAAAGGGUGUGUAGGCGGACUUUUAAGUCAGCGGUGAAAUCUCCGGGCUCAACCCGGAAACUGCCAUUGGUACUAUUAGUCUUGAAUCUUGUUGAGGUAGGCGGAACGGGUCAUGUAGCGGUGAAAUGCAUAGAUAUGACCCGGAACACCGAUUGCGAAGGCAGCCUACUAAGCAAGUAUUGACGCUGGGGCACGAAAGCGUGGGGGAUCAAACAGG
rnacentral:rRNA from 1 species